AAACACUGCACUAUCACCCUGCAGCCCAAGACUGGUUGCUCACUGAAGCUAAGCAGGGUUGAGCCUGGUCAGUACCUGGAUGGGAGACCUCCUGGGAAAACUGUGUUGCUGC
rnacentral:rRNA from 1 species